GUUUCGGUGUGUGUGUAACUUAGAUUAUUAGGUGCCACUUAGUCUGCAUACGUAUAAGAGCAUGUUUAGACCAGAGGUGAUAAGAAGGGUCGAACUGUGCUUCUUCCGACCUUGUGCAAAACUUCCAUCCUUGGCUCGGACGUCAGAAAUCUGGGAUAGCUGGUGUGAUCUGAGGUCCGGGUUGGCUGGGGUAGUGCAGGGGUCCCCUGAGCCGAGGGUCUGUAAGCUGAUCCAUUCACCCUGUGACUGGGGAAACUCAGGUGAGGAGAGGACAGACAGACGGACAGGUGUUAGCAUGGCGAUUCAGGGGAGGAGAGGACAGACAGGCAGGCAGGUGAUAUCCAUCCUCGAGGGGGGAGCUGACUGUCCUGGGUUCAUGUCUGACUGUUUGUCUUUGUCAGGGGAACAGGCGGAAACAGAAGGCACAGUUGCAUUGGUCUGUGAGAGGAGAGACAUGAGUGUUUGUUAUUGCAAAAGACCUUUGGGGUUAUGGAAGGCCGUUGGCCUGGAUGCAUUGGUGUUUGAGAGUGCAAAAGACCUUGUGGUGUGGAUGUAAU
ensembl:lncRNA